GGAGAGGUGCUCGAGUGGCUGAAGAGGCACGCCUGGAAAGCGUGUAUGCGCCAAAAGCGUAUCGGGGGUUCGAAUCCCCCUCUCUCCG
rnacentral:tRNA from 1 species